rnacentral:rRNA from 1 species
AGAGUUUGAUCCUGGCUCAGGACGAACGCUGGCGGCGUGCUUAAUACAUGCAAGUCGAACGGGGUCCAACCGGUGGCAACACUGGUGAAGACCUAGUGGCGAACGGGUGAGUAGCACGUGAGCAACCUGCCCCGAAGACUGGGAUAACACCGGGAAACCGGUGCUAAUACCAGAUGCCCCCACCGGACCGCAUGAUCCGGUGAGGAAAGGAUUCUGCUUCGGGAGGGGCUCGCGGCCUAUCAGCUUGUUGGUGAGGUAACGGCUCACCAAGGCUACGACGGGUAGCUGGUCUGAGAGGACGAUCAGCCACACUGGGACUGAGACACGGCCCAGACUCCUACGGGAGGCAGCAGUAGGGAAUCUUGCGCAAUGGGCGAAAGCCUGACGCAGCAACGCCGCGUGAGGGACGAAGGCUUUCUGAGUUGUAAACCUCUUUCAGCAGGGACGAUUAUGACGGUACCUGCAGAAGAAGCACCGGCCAACUACGUGCCAGCAGCCGCGGUGAUACGUAGGGUGCGAGCGUUGUCCGGAUUUAUUGGGCGUAAAGAGCUCGUAGGCGGUUCGAUAAGUCGGGUGUGAAAUCUCUAGGCUCAACCUGGAGUCGCCACCCGAUACUGUCGUGACUAGAGUCCGGUAGGGGACCAUGGAAUUCCUGGUGUAGCGGUGAAAUGCGCAGAUAUCAGGAGGAACACCAGUAGCGAAGGCGGUGGUCUGGGCCGGAACUGACGCUGAGGAGCGAAAGCGUGGGGAGCGAACAGGAUUAGAUACCCCGGUAGUCC